AUGUUGCGUGUGGUAAGCUGGAACAUCAAUGGGAUCCGGAGACCCCUGCAAGGUCUGGGAUGCAAGAUACCCAGCAGCUGUCCCACGGCCUUGAGACACAUUUUAGAGGAACUGGAUGCUGAUAUUGUCUGUCUCCAGGAGACCAAAGUGAACAGAGAUGCGCUGACGGAGCCCCUGGCUUUUGUUGAGGGCUAUAACUCCUAUUUCAGUUUCAGCCGCAGCCGGAGUGGCUAUUCUGGUGUAGCUACUUUCUGUAAGCACAGUGCUACACCAGUGGCUGCCGAAGAAGGCCUGAGUGGUCAGUUUGCCACCCUGGACGGACAUGUCGGUUGCUAUGGAAACAUGAACGAGUUCACCCAAGAGCAGCUCCGGGCUCUGGAUAGCGAGGGUCGGGCUGUCCUUACACAGCACAAGAUCUGCACACAGGAAGGGAAGGAGAAACCUUUGACCCUGAUCAAUGUGUACUGCCCGCAUGCCAAUCCUGGGAACCCUGAGCGGCUGACCUUUAAGAUGCUUUUCUAUCGCUUGCUGCAGAUCCGAGCAGAAGCACUCCUGGCAGCCGGCAGUCAUGUGAUAAUCCUGGGGGACAUGAAUACAGCCCACCGUCCCAUUGACCACUGUGAUGCUGGCAGUCUGGAGUGCUUUGAAGAAGACCUGGGACGUAAGUGGAUGGAUGACUUGCUUAGUAACAGGGAAUACCAGGCUGGGUCCCAUAUAGGGCUUUUCAUGGAUAGCUACCGCUAUUUGUAUCCAAAACAGGAGAGGGCCUUCACCUGCUGGUCAGUCAUCAAUGAUGCCCGCAGUCUCAACUAUGGUACCCGACUUGACUACGUACUAGGAGACAGGACUCUAAUUAUAGACACUUUACAAGAUGCCUUCCUGCUUCCUGAGGUGAUGGGCUCUGACCACUGCCCUGUGGGAGCUGUCUUGAAUGUGUCCUGUGUGCCAGCGAUACAGUGCCCAGCUCUGUGCACCCGUUUCCUCCCCAAGUUUGCAGGUACCCAGCUCAAGAUUCUUGGCUUCCUAGUCCCUAUGUGGGGGCAGUCUGUCCUGCAGCCCAGCAAACAAGUCCAGCUACAGAAACAGCAAAAAGCCCAAGCCUACAGGUACUCAUUCAGGCCUCCAAAGCAUCAAGGUGGUUCCAGAAGACGCCAGAAAAACCUGAAGAGUUAUUUUCAGCCUUCUGUUAGCCUUUCCCAGAAUUCUCCUGAUGUGGAACUACCUAAGCUGCCUCCGGUGGGCACUCUUGUACCUCCAACGACUCUGGAAGGGGAUGUGAUAGCUACAAGGACCGAUAAACAAGCCAACGUUUCUAAUGUCAGAAAUGUGGAGGCACAGACCUCGUUCUGGAAAUCUGUGCUGAGUGGGCCCUCACCCAUGCCCCUCUGCAGAGGCCACAGGGAGCCGUGUGUGAUGCGGAUUGUGAAGAAACCAGGACCUAACCUGGGCCGCCAUUUCUACAUAUGUGCCAAGCCACAAGGUCCUCCAAAUGAUCCCUCAUCAAGCUGCAACUUCUUCCUGUGGAGCAAGCCCAGAUGA